ACGCCACCAUAAAAUAUUCUUUUGUUCAUCGAUUACUUCAUCAAAAGGGUUGUUGUCAUCAAUUGUCAUCAAAGUUGAAAUCAGCUUAGCUGCGGAUAGAUUUCUGCCAUAAACUGUUCUCGAGGUAUUAUCUGUUUGUAACAGCAGUGGUUCAGCAUCUACAGUGGAUUCAACAUCAGGUGUUUGCUAUUAUUGUUUGAUGUUGUUUGCCAUUAUUGUUUGAUGUUGUUUGCUAUUAUUGUUUGAUGUUGUUUGCUAUUGUAGUCAAGUAAGGUAAAAAUGGCCAUUCUAAUUACCUGAAUAUUGCGUAUGAUAUCCUUUUAAUUUUAAUCACGCAAUAAGUUUUUUGGUUUGUUUCUUUCGUAUUUCCUUAUGAUUUGUAUGCUAUUACGGUUUGAUUUUAUAUUGAUCAUUACAUUAUUGGUGAGUACUGGGGAAUAUUGGAUGGUUUUAUUAGUUUUAUUUUUGGUAUUUUAUGAUGCAGUUGAAGGGAUCAUUUGAGUGAAAUCAAUGUUGAUUUAUCAGAAGAUGCAGUUGAAGAUAUCUUAAUUAAGGAUGCAAUACAAUUAUAAAGACUGAUGGUUAUAACAGCUGAUCAUGCUAAGGACUGUUAUAAUUAACCACUGCUCCUUAUAAAGACUGAUGGACUUAAAUACUGAUAAGGCCUAUCCACUGAUGUAGACAAAUCUCUGUUAAAGUUCCAUGUGCUAAGGACUGUUAUAACUAACCACUGCUCCUUAUAUAAUCAUCUUCCAGUAUCAUUGUUCCAACAUCGUUGUUUCAAUAAAGCUUCCCAUCACACAUCAAUCUUUCAAUAUCGAUGUUGCAAUAUAAUUGUUGCAACAUCGUUAAAGGUUGUAUGUACUACCUUCUUUGAUGGGAGAGUUGUGGUUUCCCUUGAUAAUGAUGAUGAUGAUGAUGAUUGUUCUACUGUUGUGAAUGAAGUGGCACUUUGGACAUCUGUUGUCUUCAAACUUCAAACUUCUUAGAUAAUAGAAGUUUGAAGAGCAACAGAUGUCCAAAGUGCGGAUUCUUUGGAAGUAGCCAUGAACCAUUAUAUGAGAAUACCUUUAAUUUACCAAACCUGUAGAAUGAGAUACUCCACUGUUGGGUUAUCAUCUUUCAACCUCACUUUCCUUAAAUUUAUCAAUUCUAUUUUUCAACAGGAUGUAAUACAAUUAUAAAGACUGAUGGUUAUAACAGCUGAUCAUGCUAAUGACUGUUA
rnacentral:lncRNA from 1 species